rnacentral:rRNA from 1 species
UACGUAGGGUGCAAGCGUUGUCCGGAAUUAUUGGGCGUAAAGAGCUCGUAGGCGGUCUGUCACGUCGGCUGUGAAAACCCGGAGCUCAACUCCGGGCCUGCAGUCGAUACGGGCGGACUAGAGUUCGGCAGGGGAGACUGGAAUUCCUGGUGUAGCGGUGAAAUGCGCAGAUAUCAGGAGGAACACCGGUGGCGAAGGCGGGUCUCUGGGCCGAUACUGACGCUGAGGAGCGAAAGCGUGGGGAGCGAACAGG